rnacentral:rRNA from 1 species
AUUGAACGCUGGCGGCAUGUCUUACACAUGCAAGUCGAACGGUAACAGGUCUUCGGAUGCUGACGAGUGGCGAACGGGUGAGUAAUACAUCGGAACGUGCCCGAGAGUGGGGGAUAACGAGGCGAAAGCUUUGCUAAUACCGCAUACGAUCUCAGGAUGAAAGCAGGGGACCGCAAGGCCUUGCGCUCACGGAGCGGCCGAUGGCAGAUUAGGUAGUUGGUGGGAUAAAAGCUUACCAAGCCGACGAUCUGUAGCUGGUCUGAGAGGACGACCAGCCACACUGGGACUGCGACACGGCCCAGACUCCUACGGGGGGCAGCAGUGGGGAAUUUUGGACAAUGGGCGCAAGCCUGAUCCAGCCAUGCCGCGUGCAGGAUGAAGGCCUUCGGGUUGUAAACUGCUUUUGUACGGAACGAAAAGACUUCUUCUAAUAAAGGGGGUCCAUGACGGUACCGUAAGAAUAAGCACCGGCUAACUACGUGCCAGCAGCCGCCGUAAUAC